GGGCAGUUUGACUGGGGCGGUCGCCUCCUAAAGAGUAACGGAGGCGCUCAAAGGUUCCCUCAGAAUGGUUGGAAAUCAUUCAUAGAGUGUAAAGGCAUAAGGGAGCUUGACUGCGAGACCUACAAGUCGAGCAGGGUCGAAAGACGGACUUAGUGAUCCGGUGGUUCCGCAUGGAAGGGCCAUCGCUCAACGGAUAAAAGCUACCCCGGGGAUAACAGGCUUAUCUCCCCCAAGAGUUCACAUCGACGGGGAGGUUUGGCACCUCGAUGUCGGCUCAUCGCAUCCUGGGGCUGUAGUCGGUCCCAAGGGUUGGGCUGUUCGCCCAUUAAAGCGGUACGCGAGCUGGGUUCAGAACGUCGUGAGACAGUUCGGUCCCUAUCCGUCGUGGGCGUAGGAAAUUUGAGAGGAGCUGUCCUUAGUACGAGAGGACCGGGAUGGACAUACCUCUGGUGUACCAGUUGUCGUGCCAACGGCAUAGCUGGGUAGCUAUGUAUGGACGGGAUAAGUGCUGAAAGCAUCUAAGCAUGAAGCCCCCCUCGAGAUGAGAUUUCCCAACUUCGGUUAUAAGAUCCCUCAAAGAUGAUGAGGUGAAUAGGUUCGAGGUGGAAGCGUAGCGAUACGUGGAGCUGACGAAUACUA
rnacentral:rRNA from 1 species